AAACAGCUAUCAAAGAAAGCUCCCCCAUUAGCUGUCAGUUCACAGCAACUUCAGUCAGCUGGUGUGCCUGCGCCUGCAGUAAUAUCUCCCCAGCAUCCUCCCACACGCCCAACUUGACUGCUCUGUGCAAGCCACAUUAAACCUGUCUGCCAUCAAUCCCCGGGUCUGCUUUUCAGCAGCAGCUUAACGAGAUUUAAAUAUGAAUAGUCGACUAAAGCAAGUUCCAAUUUUGAAGGAAGGAAAGAAGGCCAAACUAAAAAAGAAAGAAGACAUAGUCUUUAUGGCACUGAAGAACUGAAUAAAUUAAAUUUAUCCUAAGUUAUUAAAAAAAUGGUAGAUAUUAUGACAAACCCCAUAGUCUUUCUUUCUUCCUUCCUUCCUGUCUCCCUUCCUUCCUCUCUUCCUCCUCUUCCUUUCUCUUUCUAUCUUUUGAAACACGGUCUCUCUGUUGCCCCUGCUGGAGUACAGUGGUGCAGUCAUGGCACACUGCAGCCUCGAACUCCUGGACUCAAGUGAUCCUUUCACCUCAGCCUGUAGA
rnacentral:lncRNA from 1 species